GUCUACGGCCAUGCUACCCUGAAUAAGCCUGAUCUCGGAAGCUAAGCAGGGUCGGGCCUGGUUAGUACUGGGAUGGAAGACCACCUAGGAAGACCAAGUGCUGUAGGAG
rnacentral:rRNA from 1 species